GACGAACGCUGGCGGCGUGCUUAACACAUGCAAGUCGAACGGUAAGGCCCUUCGGGGUACACGAGUGGCGAACGGGUGAGUAACACGUGGGCGAUCUGCCCUUCACUUCUGUAUAAGCCUGGGAAACUGGGUCUAAUACCGCAUAGGACUCCUGGCUUCAUGGGUGGGGGUGGACCGCUUUUGCGGUGUGGGAUGGGCCCGCGGCCUAGCAGCUUGUUGGUGGGGUGAUGGCCGACCAAGGCGACGACGGGUAGCCGGCCUGAGAGGGUGACCGGUCACACUGGGACUGAGAUACGGCCCAGACUCCUACGGGAGGCAGCAGUGGGGAAUAUUGCACAAUGGGCGCAAGCCUGAUGCAGCGACGCCGCGUGAGGGAUGACGGCCUUCGGGUUGUAAACCUCUUUCAGCUAUGACGAAGCGCAAGUGACGGUAGUAGCAGAAGAAGGACCGGCCAACUACGUGCCAGCCGCCGCAGUAA
rnacentral:rRNA from 1 species